GAUGAACGCUGGCGGCGUGCCUAACACAUGCAAGUCGAACGGAGAUUACGGACGGAAGUUUUCGGAUGGAAGACUGUAAUUCUUAGUGGCGGACGGGUGAGUAACGCGUGGGCAACCUGCCCUAUACAGGGGGAUAGCAGCUGGAAACGGCUGGUAAGACCGCAUAAGUCGGCGAAACCGCAUGGUUUUGCCGGGAAAUGAGCAAUCAGGUAUAGGAUGGGCCCGCGUCCGAUUAGCCAGUUGGCAGGGUAAAAGCCUACCAAAGCAACGAUCGGUAGCCGGACUGAGAGGUCGGACGGCCACAUUGGGACUGAGACACGGCCCAAACUCCUACGGGAGGCAGCAGUGGGGGAUAUUGCACAAUGGAGGAAACUCUGAUGCAGCGACGCCGCGUGAGUGAAGAAGUAUUUCGGUAUGUAAAGCUCUAUCAGCAGGGAAGAUGAUGACGUACCUGACUAAGAGCCCCGCA
rnacentral:rRNA from 1 species